ACGAACGCUGGCGGCGUGGAUAAGACAUGCAAGUCGAACGAGAAACUUACUUAGCUUGCUUUGAAAGUUUCUAGUGGCGGACGGGUGAGUAACACGUGAGUUACCUGCCCCGAAGUGGGGGAUAGCCUUCCGAAAGGGAGAUUAAUACCCCAUGUGAUCGCAAGAUUAAAGGCGGCCAUCUUUGAUGGCUGUCGCUUCGGGAUGGGCUCGCGGCCUAUCAGCUAGUUGGUGAGGUAACUGCUUACCAAGGCGAUGACGGGUAGCUGGUCUGAGAGGACGACCAGUCACACUGGAACUGAGACACGGUCCAGACACCUACGGGUGGCAGCAGUCGAGAAUCAUUCGCAAUGGGCGAAAGCCUGACGGUGCGACGCCGCGUGGAGGAUGAAGGCCCUAGGGUCGUAAACUCCUGUCAUCAGGGAGUAAUGGCUCACGUAGUAACUGCCGUGAGCAGUGAUAGUACCUGAAGAGGAAGGGACGGC
rnacentral:rRNA from 1 species